GUUUGUCCUACCUAGAUCAGCUUUCAGAGUCCAAAUCUGAAGUGCAGUCUUGUACACCAAGCGAGGUUCCUGAAAGCUCCUCAGCCGCAAGAGAAACCAAAGAUUUGAAUUCCUCCAAGCCUGAAGAGUGUUCUUUGAGAAUCAAUGAGGGCUUGCCAAAAUUUAAACCUGGGGGAGCCUUGGGAAACAAUGAGCUGAAACCGGGAAAUACAAUUGCAAGUAGCACAGACCCCUUACCUUUGGAAGUACCUGGCCUCAAAGCUGUAGAUGCAGCAAUUGGCUCUCUGAAUUUUGAUGUUGGAUACCCCAACAAUGAAUCUCUGCACGAAUCAUCACACCUGGAUCCUAAACCAAGGGUUGUGGCUGCUACUGUUGAUAAGAAGAAAAAGUUGAAGAAGAUUAUUCAAUGUUACGAAGAGGCUCCUUUGGCAUCAUCUAGUCCGCCACUUGUUGCAAAUGAUGUUCCUAUUCAAAAGGGGGUUGAUAAGCCUAGUGAGCCUCAGGUUGGACCAAAGCCUUCUAAUGUGGGUUCUUCCACUGGUAAUGCUGAUCCUACGAAAUGGGGCCAUCCAGUUGGUGGGAUAAAUUAUUUAGUAGAGAGUGGUUCUGAGAACUCUCCAGUCUCACAGUUUGGUCGUGGUUCUCUUAACAAGUCUCCACUUUUUGGAAUGCCUCUACGAAAUGAUUCAGCUGCCCCCCCAUAUUCCAGCAUCCCACCAUUAAUGAGCAUUAUUCAGAAUGAUGCCUCUGGGAGUAUUGUACAUUUGGGUGUUUCUUGCGAUGGUUGUGGGUCCCAUCCCAUAACUGGACCUAGGUUCAAGUCAAAAGUGUAAGAACUAAGACAGUGACCUUACUAACUUUCUGAUGAAUAUCUACAGAAUCUUUAUAUGUUAAACUGAUCAGUCUUUUAUUGCAGAAAAUAUAACUAUGAUCUGUGCCAAAUCUGUUUUCUUAAAAUGGGAAAUGUUUCUGAUUAUAUUAGAAUUGCUCAUGAGGGGGAUCAUCAGUACCCCACGUCUAUCAAGGAAUUGUAUGGCCAUGUAUGUAAAAUUCAUUGUCCUGUUUGUUUCUUUAUUAAGCAUUUAUCAUAUCUUUUAUUUGUUAAAUUUUAUUGCUCCUGUCUACUCUUAACACAGCAUGCUAAGGACCGGGUGAUCUUCAGUGGUUGCAAUGAUAGAAUGGGUAUAGCAAAGCUAGACAGUCGCUUCAUUCAGGAUGUGAAUAUUUUCGAUGAAACUGUGAUGGCCCCUUUGACUCCAUUUACCAAGAUUUGGCGGAUGGGGAACAUUGGUGCAUCGGCGUGGCCCCAAAAAACACAACUUGUUUGGACUGGGGGAGACAGAUUAAGUAAUGCAUUUCCGGUUGAAGUAGAGGUUGGUUAUCACCAUUUUUUUUUUUUGGAUGCAAGGGCUUAAUGUGUACCCCCCACCCCCCGGGUGUUUCUAGUGAAAAUUCUGCAAUUGAUUUUGGAUAUCUCUUGGGCUUUUGAUUUGUCUCUAAAACCCUUAAGUUAUUCUGUGGCAUACAGUAGAAAAUUGCUAGAUGCUGAGACUUCUCUGUUUUAUUCUUUCCUUUGUUAGUUACAAUUUUAGAAUUUGAAUUUUGCAACUAUGUAUUCAUUUUGUGUCAUGAAAUCUCUCACAGCUUUUCUUUUCCUUUUUAUGAUACAUGCUUUCUAAAUUAUUGCUUCUAAUAUUUGCCUUAGAUUAACUUUCUGGAUUUUUUUUAUGAUUUUUAUUCAUUUGCCCAAUCUCAAAGAGCAUCUUCAAUGAACCUAACCUCCCUUAUUAGGCCUUUUCAAUUAUUUUACUUUUAACUCCCCAUGUUUGUUCUAACUAUCAUGAUCCUAAGUUCUAAUUCUUUCUUGAUGAUCUUAGACAAAUAUACUUAGAAGAAUGUCUUGUAUGGGUAUGUUUAUAAAACACACAGAGAGAGGUUUCAUUUUGUUAUUGCUCAUUUUGAAUAUGUGUCUCUGCUAGCAACUUUGACCGAGGUCAAAAUUAUGUGCUCAAGUGAUAUGCAUUUAAAUCUGGAUGAGAAAUAAUUAUAGCAAUAGGCCUGCUAGUAUGAAGCUUGUAAAUACAUGGGUCUGCAAGCUAUAUCUAGUAUAGAUGUUUGUAUAGGGCCGAUCUACUUUUUAGCAUUUGUUAGUUAUUUUUCUACAUCUGUUAUUCAUUAUACUAUCUUUCCCCACUCAGUCCCUAUGUCAUCUGAGUUUUUUUUCUCCCUAAUGUUGUUGUGGCAACAUUUCUACAGGCAAAGUACGGGGACAUGCUCAGGCGGUUCAAUGCCCAAAUUGUUGACAAGGAACUGUAUCUUAAUUUUGAUGGACUGAGAGAGAAGAUCUGUUCAUUAUUCAAUUUUGUUCCUGAUACUGAGUUCACACUUACCUAUAUUGAUGAAGAUGGUGAUGUGGUGACGAUUGUUAAUGAUGAUGAUCUGCAUGAUGUGGUAAGGCAGGCCCUGAACCCCUUAAGGAUUACUGUGAAGGUGAACACUGAGCAGAAUGGCAGAGAAUAUGCUCGUUCAAGUGGGAGUUCAACUCCCUUGAGAUUGCCUAGAGUUCAGCAACCCUUCCGAAAGCUGAACGCAAACGUCUCUGAAAUUUUGAAAUCUGUGCCAGAGCCUCUAUGUGAAACUCUCUUGAAGCUUUCAACUGAGUUGUCAUCUAAAACCUCCUCCUCUGCACCAGGUAUUGCCGAGCUUGCUGUAUACUUCUCAAAGAUAGGUUUGUCCUACCUAGAUCAGCUUUCAGAGUCCAAAUCUGAAGUGCAGUCUUGUACACCAAGCGAGGUUCCUGAAAGCUCCUCAGCCGCAAGAGAAACCAAAGAUUUGAAUUCCUCCAAGCCUGAAGAGUGUUCUUUGAGAAUCAAUGAGGGCUUGCCAAAAUUUAAACCUGGGGGAGCCUUGGGAAACAAUGAGCUGAAACCGGGAAAUACAAUUGCAAGUAGCACAGACCCCUUACCUUUGGAAGUACCUGGCCUCAAAGCUGUAGAUGCAGCAAUUGGCUCUCUGAAUUUUGAUGUUGGAUACCCCAACAAUGAAUCUCUGCACGAAUCAUCACACCUGGAUCCUAAACCAAGGGUUGUGGCUGCUACUGUUGAUAAGAAGAAAAAGUUGAAGAAGAUUAUUCAAUGUUACGAAGAGGCUCCUUUGGCAUCAUCUAGUCCGCCACUUGUUGCAAAUGAUGUUCCUAUUCAAAAGGGGGUUGAUAAGCCUAGUGAGCCUCAGGUUGGACCAAAGCCUUCUAAUGUGGGUUCUUCCACUGGUAAUGCUGAUCCUACGAAAUGGGGCCAUCCAGUUGGUGGGAUAAAUUAUUUAGUAGAGAGUGGUUCUGAGAACUCUCCAGUCUCACAGUUUGGUCGUGGUUCUCUUAACAAGUCUCCACUUUUUGGAAUGCCUCUACGAAAUGAUUCAGCUGCCCCCCCAUAUUCCAGCAUCCCACCAUUAAUGAGCAUUAUUCAGAAUGAUGCCUCUGGGAGUAUUGUACAUUUGGGUGUUUCUUGCGAUGGUUGUGGGUCCCAUCCCAUAACUGGACCUAGGUUCAAGUCAAAAGUGUAAGAACUAAGACAGUGACCUUACUAACUUUCUGAUGAAUAUCUACAGAAUCUUUAUAUGUUAAACUGAUCAGUCUUUUAUUGCAGAAAAUAUAACUAUGAUCUGUGCCAAAUCUGUUUUCUUAAAAUGGGAAAUGUUUCUGAUUAUAUUAGAAUUGCUCAUGAGGGGGAUCAUCAGUACCCCACGUCUAUCAAGGAAUUGUAUGGCCAUGUAUGUAAAAUUCAUUGUCCUGUUUGUUUCUUUAUUAAGCAUUUAUCAUAUCUUUUAUUUGUUAAAUUUUAUUGCUCCUGUCUACUCUUAACACAGCAUGCUAAGGACCGGGUGAUCUUCAGUGGUUGCAAUGAUAGAAUGGGUAUAGCAAAGCUAGACAGUCGCUUCAUUCAGGAUGUGAAUAUUUUCGAUGAAACUGUGAUGGCCCCUUUGACUCCAUUUACCAAGAUUUGGCGGAUGGGGAACAUUGGUGCAUCGGCGUGGCCCCAAAAAACACAACUUGUUUGGACUGGGGGAGACAGAUUAAGUAAUGCAUUUCCGGUUGAAGUAGAGGUUGGUUAUCACCAUUUUUUUUUUUGUGCAUGGUUUCUAAUACCAGUUUGUGUAUAAUCAUCUCUUUUAUAUGGUCAGAUUCUUGUAUAAUUUUACACGUGUAUAGCAUUUGGUUUUUUUUGGCGUUUCUCAUAUUUUCUUCUACGUCUUUUUCUUCUAAAUGGUAGCAACUUGUUUGGUUAUGCUUCAUUUUCCGUUUCUACUUUUUGAUACUACUAAUUCUUAUUUCUUUUUGUCUGCAGUGAAGGAUGACACCUUGUCUUUGCAUGUAUCUUCUAUUAGUAUUAGUAGAUUUUUAUAAUAAUUAUCAUCAAAAGAAAAGAUUAAUCCUCGUGAUUUUUUUUCCAUCGCUAGAUUC
rnacentral:lncRNA from 1 species